GGAGGAGUCGGAUAGCGGUCAAUUCCAAGGGUUUGCUAAACCCUGACGCGCAAGCGUCCCGUCGGUUCGAAUCCCACCUCCUCCG
rfam:Microgenomates bacterium GW2011_GWF1_38_5 TS97_C0051, whole genome shotgun sequence.